rnacentral:rRNA from 1 species
GAUGAACGCUGGCGGCGUGCCUAAUACAUGCAAGUCGAGCGAACAGACGAGGAGCUUGCGCCUCUGACGUUAGCGGCGGACGGGUGAGUAACACGUGGAUAACCUACCUAUAAGACUGGGAUAACUUCGGGAAACCGGAGCUAAUACCAGAGGAUAUAUUGAACCGCAUGGUUCAAUAGUAAAAUACGGUUUUGCUGUCACUUAUAGAUGGAUCCGCGCCGCAUUAGCUAGUUGGUAAGGUAACGGCUUACCAAGGCAACGAUGCGUAACCGACCUGAGAGGGUGAUAGGCCACACUGGAGCUGAGCCACGGUCCAGACUACUACGGUAGGGAGCAGUAGGGAAUCGUCCGCAAUGGGCGAGAGCCUGGCGGAGCAGCGGCGCGUGAGUGAUGAAGGUCUUCGGAUCGUGAAACUCUGUUAUUAGGGAAAAACAACUGUGUACGUAAAUAUGCACGUCUUGACGGUACCUAAUCAGAAAGCCACGGCUAACUACGUG